CUCUGUGACUCCUACGGGAGGCAGCAGUGGGGAAUAUUGCACAAUGGGCGCAAGCCUGAUGCAGCCAUGCCGCGUGUAUGAAGAAGGCCUUCGGGUUGUAAAGUACUUUCAGCAGUGAGGAAGGUGGUGCAGUUAAUAGCUGUAUCAUUUGACGUUAGCUGCAGAAGAAGCACCGGCUAACUCCGUGCCAGCAGCCGCGGUAAUACGGAGGGUGCGAGCGUUAAUCGGAAUUACUGGGCGUAAAGCGCAUGCAGGUGGUUUGUUAAGUCAGAUGUGAAAGCCCCGGGGCUCAACCUCGGAAUUGCAUUUGAAACUGGCAGACUAGAGUCUUGUAGAGGGGGUAGAAUUUCAGGUGUAGCGGUGAAAUGCGUAGAGAUCUGAAGGAAUACCAGUGGCGAAGGCGGCCCCCUGGACAAAGACUGACGCUCAGAUGCGAAAGCGUGGGGAGCAAACAGGAUUAGAUACCCUGGAG
rnacentral:rRNA from 1 species